CCUCCUCUUGAUAUGCAAACUGAGGAAAUCAAGGUGAUGGGAAAGCAUUCUACAGCAGCUGUUGACUUCAGGAUAUUUCAUGGAUGAGUUAUACUCCUUGACUCCCAUGAAUGUAUCAUCCGCUUGCUACGCAAACUGAGGAAAUCAAAGUGGCAAAGCAAUUGACUGCAUGUGUUGACUUCAGGAUAUCUCAAGGACGAGUUAGAAUCUUUGACGCUCAGGGAUGCAUCCUCUGCUUGCUACACAACCUCUGCUUGCUACACAAACUGAGAAAACCAAAGCGGCAAAGCAUUGUACUGCAGAUGUCGACUUCGGGAUAUCUCAUGGAUCAGUUAUACUCCUCGUUGCUCAUGUAAAAUUAGCUUAUUUUGCUCUCUGCAAUUGCAUAAUAGAACGGUUGAGCUAAACAUCUCGCUGCUGAUAUUUUCAAAUGUAUUGCAACCACUGUACAACCCAUCCAUCGUAAUUGAUAUGUUGAGACUGGA